AAUUCGAUUGAGUUUGAUCCUGGCUCAGGACGAACGCUGGCGGCGUGCUUAACACAUGCAAGUCAAGGGGGCCCAGCAAUGGGCAACCGGCGAACGGGUGCGUAACACGUGAGCAACCUUCCGAAAUAUGGGGGAUAGCCGGCCUAACGGCCGAGUAAUACCGCAUACGCUCUCGAUGAGGCAUUUCAUUGAGAGGAAACCUCCGGGGUAUUUCGAGGGGCUCGCGGCCUAUCAGCUAGUUGGCGAGGUAACGGCUCACCAAGGCAACGACGGGUAGCUGGUCUGAGAGGAUGGCCAGCCACAUUGGGACUGAGAUACGGCCCAGACUCCUACGGGAGGCAGCAGUGGGGAAUCUUGCGCAAUGGCCUAACGGCUGACGCAGCGACGCCGCGUGUAGGAUGAAGCUCUUCGGAGUGUAAACUACUGUUGCCCGGGACGAAUAGCUCGAUUAAUCGAGCCUGACAGUACCGGGUGAGGAAGCACCGGCUAACUCCGUGCCGGCAGCCGCGGUGAUACGGGGGGUGCGAGCGUUGUCCGGAAUCACUGGGCGUAAAGGGCGCGUAGGUGGUUUGAUAAGGGUGUGGUGAAAGUCCGGGGCUCAACCCCGGAUCUGCCGUGCCGACUGUCAAACUCGAGGACUGUAGAGGCAGACGGAAUUCCGGGUGUAGCGGUGGAAUGCGUAGAGAUCCGGA
rnacentral:rRNA from 1 species